GCUGGGCGUGGUGGCGGGCGCCUGUAGUCCCAGCUACUUGGGAGGCUGAGGCAGGAGAAUGGCUUGAACCCGGGAGGCGGAGCUUGCAGUGAGCCGAGAUCACGCCACUGCACUCCAGCCUGGGUGACAGAGCAAGACUCUGUCUCAA
rnacentral:SRP_RNA from 1 species